rnacentral:lncRNA from 1 species
CAUUUUAACGUCCCCGUGCUUGGAUUUGCUGCUUAUGUCCCUUGGAUCAGGAUAGGGCGGCUCUCAAUGCAGUCAUUGACGGGAGUCUCAGUGUAGCAAAUCGGAGGCAGAACCAAAAGUAACCAGGAGAAAAGGGGAAAGAGUGGAACACGAGCUUCGAAAGACAAAAGUGAAAGAACCGAGAUCCAUGUCCACUAUCUCCAGCGUCUCCCCUGUGCUAUUCGGGCGACAUGGAGGGGUGGGAGCUGCGCGGGUGUUAAGUUUGUCCCACUCGCAUUUCGCGUGGAGAGAAGGAGGAGGAGGAGAGGGAGGGUCGAUCUCCAAGCCUGUGGCCGCAAGGAUGACUGAGUCGGCGCCGCGCUUACCUCGCAGUCUUCGUACUUGAUAUUAUCCGUCAGUUUCCAAAGCAUUUUCAUGGAUCGGCGUGAUCGGAUUUGCCCCUCUGCGCCUCGCACCCCAGCGGAGCUACUCUCUGGGCUAAUCGCCUCAUUAGCAUAUCAACAAUAGUCCAAUUGCUCGCCAGGACCACAAUCUGCCGCCGGCCGCUCCGACCCAGGUAUAAAGGCCUCUUCUAGCCGCUAACUUGCUCCUAGAGCACUUGCCUGCAUGCCAGCCUGCAAGCCCAACAACUCUUCCUAGAGCUCCAGCACCCUCCCUGUUCGAGCGUCCCCUAUCCCCAAUUUCAUCUCUUUCCCCUUCGCCUGUCUUCGGGUCCUGCUAGCCAAAGAUGCUUUGGAUAAAGCUCUGUACUACGCAGGGUACCAGCGGCGGCGCCUAGGGACCAACUUUUAGUACCCCACCUCCCACUCUUACUACAACCGCCACUAUCUGCCUUUCGUCCCCGUCCGAUUUUAUUAGAAAUCAUUAUCCCUUUCGCAAUGAACCGUAGCCACCAAACCAGGACCAGCAAAGUCACUCCAAGAAUUUUGCCCAACUAGAGAUCGCCUCCGCUCACGGCUGUUACCCCCUCGGGCUGCAGCGCCCUGGGAGUUUUAUUAGCUUUGCGCUCCCCCCUCCCCCCAGGUUGGAGAUUCUGCCAGCCGGCUCCGGUGGCUCGGUUGGGGUUUGCGAUCUCUUAAUUGCUACGUGUAAAAUAAAAGUUGUACCCUGAAGAGGUUACUCGACAGAUCCGGGGGUUAAAUGAUUUUCCUCCGGUUUGUAUGAAGCUGAAUCGGACUGACUAUUCAUCCGGGCGUUUGGACUGUAAGGUUUCCCAGGUGCAACGUGGACAACAACACAGAAUUCGGAUGGGGAUGCACAACCCCUUCUGGAGUGAGCCAAACCGCAGACCCAUGAGCUCCUGCGACUCUCCAUGCGGUGUCGUACAUGCAUCAAAAUAAAACAUUAGGAACCAACUCUUCCUGUGCAAAUCGGCUCCAGUUUUCCCAAGAUUCUCCUUUUUAAUUAAAGAAGGACGCGACCCUUUAUGACUUGAUGUUACUAACGCCGGCGUUUUGGCGGCGCAAUGGCCGGCUGGUGAAGAACCUGAAGGCAGGAGACACCCCUUCCCCAAGUUGGCCACUCCUGACUCCGCCCAGGGGCUUACUCACUCCACCGGGACCCUUCCUCCCUUACUGCAAUUAUUCUAAAGUAAGAUAUUA